rnacentral:rRNA from 1 species
GAUGAACGCUGACGGAAUGCUUAGCACAUGCAAGUCAACUUGAACUUCGGUUUGGGUGGCGGACGGGUGAGUAACGCGUAAAGAACUUGCCUCACAGCUAGGGACAACAUUUGGAAACGAAUGCUAAUACCUGAUAUUAUGAUUUUAGGGCAUACUAGAAUUAUGAAAGCUAUGUGCGCUGGGAGAGAGCUUUGCGUUCCAUUAGCUGGUUGGAGAGGUAAGGGCUAACCAAGGCGAGGAUGGGUGGCCGGCAUGAGGGGGUGAACGGCAACAAGGGGACUGGGAAACGGCCCUUACUCUUACGGGAGGCAGCAGUGGGGAAAAUGGGACAAUGGACCAAGAGUCUGAUCCAGCAAUUCUGUGUGCACGAUGAAGUUUUUCGGAAUGUAAAGUGUUUUCAGUUGGGAAGAAAAAAAUGACGGUACCAACAGAAGAAGUGACGGCUAAAUACGUG